GAUGAACGCUGGCGGCGUGCCUAACACAUGCAAGUCGAACGGAGUCCAGCCUUUAAGACCUUCGGGUCAAAGAGGGGAAGACUGAGUGGCGGACGGGUGAGUAACACGUGGGCAACCUGGCUCAUAGAGGGGGAUAACAGAGAGAAAUUUCUGCUAAUACCGCAUAAGCACACACUGCCGCAUGGCAGAGGGUGAAAAGAGAAUCGCUAUGAGAUGGACCCGCGUCUGAUUAGCCAGUUGGCAGGGUAAGAGCCAACCAAAGCGACGAUCAGUAGCCGAUCUGAGAGGAUGAACGGCCACAUUGGGACUGAGACACGGCCCAAACUCCUACGGGAGGCAGCAGUGGGGGAUAUUGCACAAUGGGGGGAACCCUGAUGCAGCGACGCCGCGUGAGUGAAGAAGUAUUUCGGUAUGUAAAGCUCUAUCAGCAGGGAAGAUAAUGACAGUACCUGAAUAAGAAGCCCCGGCUAACUACGUG
rnacentral:rRNA from 1 species